rnacentral:lncRNA from 1 species
GGAAGGCUAGAAGGUUCGAGUGGGGUCUCCGCCCAAAGAUCAGACAACAGUUUAUUUGUGCUGGAGCUCAGGACUUAUUCAGCCAUUCUGGCCAAGACACUGUUAGUGGAGAGGAGCUUCCGCACCUUCUCUCAGGCAGUAGGGAACCUCAGACCCUCAGUUCCAUCCUGCAGACCAGCACCUACUACACUUGUUCAACAGAACAAGAGGCCUAGACCAGUGAUCCAGGCUCCCCCUCAGGCUCCAGUGGCAAGACGCAAUAAGAUCUGUCAACACUGUGGCAGGGAUCAUAGGGACUGACCCUGCUAUCGCCUCAACAACACUUGUU